UUUGUGUUCGGUGAUCUGACCAGUAUAGCCAUAUACUGAUUCUGGUCUGGUUGCUGAAAACAAGG
rnacentral:pre_miRNA from 1 species